rnacentral:rRNA from 1 species
CCCUUAGAUGUUCUGGGCUGCACGCAUGCUACACUGAUAUUGCCAAUAUGUCAUUCUUAUCCGAAAUGGAUUGGGUAAUCAAGUAAUGAAAUUUCAUGCUUGGAAUCGGUAAUUGCAAUUUUAUCGUGAACGAGGAAUUCCUAGUAAGCACUAGUCAUCAGCUAAUGUUGAUUAUGUCCCUGCCCUUUGUACACACCGCCCGUCGCUACUACUGAUUGGGUGUUCAAGUGAGAUGCUUAGACCCUUGUUGCAUGGUUCAUUAUUGUGCUCCGAAAGGAAAAAGUUUCAAGCUUGAGUGUCUAGAGGAAGUAAAAGUCGUAACA